rnacentral:rRNA from 1 species
UACGAAGGGUGCAAACGUUGCUCGGAAUCAUUGGGCGUAAAGCGCACGUAGGCGGCCUCAUAAGUCGGAUGUGAAAUCCCUCGGCUCAACCGAGGACGUGUAUUCGAAACUGCGAGGCUCGAGUAUGGAAGAGGGUCGCGGAAUUCCCGGUGUAGAGGUGAAAGGCGUAGAUAGCGGGAGGAACACCAGUGGCGAAGGCGGCGACCUGGGCCAAUACUGACGCUGAGGUGCGAAAGCGUGGGGAGCAAACAGG